UCAAAAUGGUUUCACUGCUUCCCGGCUAACUUUCAAAGAUCAGACUGAGGAUUAUGCGUGCAUGUCAUGUCACUAGAACUAGCAUUAGACAAAAGACAAAACAAAAGGAUAGAAAAACAAAGAAAACACCUGGAAGUAACAAAAGAUCACAUGUUGAAUUAGACAAACGAGAAAACAGUUCGAAUAACAAAACAAGCAAAACAAACUAGAAUACAACCCUAGAAUGAAACUCAAACAAAUCUGGACAACACUAACAAACACCCAAGGACUAAACAAGUUAGACAAAAUGAAAGGAUAAGAGGGUUUGAUUACAAGACAAUAUCUGGAUUAUAACUCUACAAAUUACCCAAACACCAAAAAUGACAACAAAAAGGACCGCCAAAGCUCCUCCCUGACUGACGUAGGAAUGGAGCGUAUUUCCAAUUACCAAGCACGGCAUCUUAGCCACUGAGUUCUGCAUCACCAACACUAGGAACUUCACAAGUCUUCAUCACAUCGUCCUCAACAAGUUUUUUUGUGUCUCCAAGGCCUUUAGAGAAUUCUCACAUUCUUUUUCCAAAAUAAACCAUACCCACCAUGUCUAUCUCAUUAUACACAAGCGACAGGUUUUUGCUGGUGUCUGUUGCAUCCAGAUAUUUUACGACAAUGUCACCUGAGUCAAUAAGAUUAUGAAUUGCUUUCUUCAGCUUCCAACAUUUUUCCAUGUCAUGCCCCGAAGCAUCAGAGCUAUAUGCGCACUUCAGAAAAAAAUCAGAUUUCUUUGACAGAGGGUUUGGCACUUUUAUCUGAAUCAGCUUCAGCAUGUCCAAUUCCUUCAACUUCUAGAAUAAAUUGGCAUAUUAUUCUCCAAUAGGGGUGAGAGCCUUUUCUCGUUUCAUCAACCUUUCAUUCCUAAAUGCCUGAUUUGGCCUAAAACCUGACCUAGGCGGUUUCCGGUAUGCUCGUAGGGGUGGAUAUGCAUUUUGUAGAGCUGGGUACUUGGACAAUGAGGUACGUGUUUUGGAGUCCCAUGGAGAGAAGUAACAUUGGGAAAGGUCAUCCGGUGCACGAGGAUACUCACGGGUACAAUAUCGAGGUUGGAAAUAUUGAUCGGGAGAGCCCUUUGGAUCAUCGUUUCUGUUUCUGUUUCUCUUUUCUGAGCUUACCGAGAUGUCCUGAAUGUCUUUCGAGCAACUCAUGAUUUUACCUGACUUGAUUCCCUCUUCUACUAGCUCCCCCAUUUUUAACACAUCUUUGAAAGGCUUUCCCAAGGCUGGGAUCAAAUAACUGAAGUAGGUUGGCCCUUAGUCUUGUAUGAAAAGUUCAACCAUCUCUUCUUCACUAAUCGGGGUAUUGAUUCGAUCAGCUUGCUCCCUCCAUCUGAGCCCAAACUCUAUAAAGCUUUCCUUUGGCUUCUUAUCCAUUAUAGAUAGGGAGGAGCGAUCCAGGAUAGCGCCUGAUUUGUAUUGAAUGUAUCGAACAAAAUCUCGAGCCAUGUCAUCCCAAGUAUGCGGCUUAAUAACACUCUGAUGAGUAUGCCAUUCCAAAGAUGCCCCGGUCAGGCUCUCACAAAAAUAUGGCAUUAGCAGUUCAUCUUUCUCGCCAACAUUUCUCAUUUCCUCGCAAUAACUCCUCAGAUGUGCUACUAGAUCUCCAAACCCAUCAUACAAUCUGAAUUUUGGUAAUUUAAACCCCAUGGGUAGGCAAAUGUCAGGAGACACGGACGGUUCUUUCAGCUUCCUGGGUUCCCUUUCAGUCCCUUCUCUUUCUAUGAACCUUUUUAUUUCAAUACGAGGCUUAUCUUACGGGCCUUGCUUGUGCAAGUUGGGAACCUUAUGAGUAACCUCGGUGGGGUAGUAUUGGGCAUCAUGAGCUCUGGGUAUGUGUUCUUUGUCGAGAAUAAUGGAUGUGACCGGAGGACAUUUUUGUGAAAAGAUAGUUGGAUAAUGAGUGAUGGGGCUACCAUAGUGGUUGGGAAAGCUGUUAUAAGUGGGUAGAUAUGGAGAGUAUGGAGUAUCAUCCGGUAUUGUGUUCGAUGUCUGGGUAAGGACAGACUCUACGAAGCUAGGCGGUGGUGGGGGCGGUGCUUUCCCAGUCAUCCAUGCUCGAUACAUAUCUGGCACAUGUCUCAAUAUUUUUACCUCUUCUAGCAACCCGUUGUCCUGUUCAACCAGCUGUUUUCAGGCAUCAGUACCAGCCCACUCAGUUCUGUUGUUUUCUAUCAUUGUCGUAUGCCUUUGUAUUGCAAGAAAGCAUUACUUUUGAACAACAAACCAACCACCUUUCUUGAGUGACAUGCCAAAAUGAAACCAUCAUGUUAGCAUUAGGGCAUUUAACACAUUGGUAAUCACACAUCUGGGGAACGAAUGCACCUAAAUAGUUGAUAAUUUUUAUUUUGCGUCAUCCCGGCCUUUUCCCUGUUCCUAAUUGCAGAAAUUCUCUCUUUUCUUUUCUUCUCUUUUUCCUUCUUCUCUUUUUUCCUCUCUUUUCCUUUUUUCUCUUUUUUAUUUGGUUAUGCUUGAAUCCUAUGUGGAUUGCCUAUGUAUCAUGGUCCCGCAUAAAUCAGACCAAGUGUAGUUCGUUCAAAUAGAAGAUAAACAACAAUAAAAUAUUUUUUUGAUUUUUCAACUUUUCAUAAUAAAACAAACUUGCACUACUAGAAAAUGGGCCUAUGGGAACAGUUAUUUUGGCAACGGUUUGUAAAACGUUGCCAUAGAUAGAUAUAGUAACAAUUAAAACUGUUACAAUAGAAUUUGGGUGGUACCAGCACGCUUCAGACAUCAAACUAUUACAAUUGUAACAAAACCGUUGUCAUAAAUAUUUUUUUCGCAAAGGAUUUGUAAACCGUCCCACUAGACAUAUAUAUGGCAACGGUUGUGGGAGGGAAAAUUGCUAUGGGAACUGUUAGUCAUUCCCUAUAUUUUGUUCGCCGAAAAUUUGCUGGCCCGCCAAGCAAAUUCAAUGACCGGUCAUUUUAUGUUUUUAAUUAAUUUUAGUAACGUAAAUACAAUAAACCCUUCCACCUCUUGCGUAUCUUCAGUACUGUACCUCCCUCAUCAAUAUAUCCUAACUCAGCUCCAACGUCCAUACACCCAAUUCUCUUGAAGGGUAAUAACUUUAUUUAUUUAUCCUCUUUUAUAGGUGGAGUAUAUCAAGAAAUAGAUGAUGAUGAAGAUGAAGAACUAGAACUUACUUGAGAUGAAUUUUGAAUUGUUAUAGAUUAAUUUUCUAGAAAUCUUUUGUUACCAAUAUUUUUGAAACUUAUUUACUCUCUUGAAAUGUACUAAACUUAUGCACUCAUGGGGUAGAACAUUUCCUUUAUUGAUAUUAUUUACUUGAUUUAAUUUUGUAUUAUUAACAAUUUCAUUUUAUGAUGUAUUUAAAUUUUUUUGUUAUUAUAAUUUAUUAUAUGUAUAAAUAUUUAUAUAUAACAGGUGCUAUAUUUUGGUUUUAACUAAACUGAUAUAAUAGCCUAUAGGAACCGUUGCAAUAGGACACAAAUGGCAUUCCAGUAGAAAAAACCGUUGCAAUAGGUCCCAUAAAUUGUUCCAAAUACAAAAAUAACCGUUACGAUAGCCUAAAGAACCCGUUGCUAUAUUCAACAUAACCGUAGCAAUAGCUUAGAAAAGUGUUGCUUAAAAUGAUAUGGUAACGGAUAAGAACCGUUGUAUAAACAAUAUAGUAACGGUUUAAAACCGUUCCAAUUGAAAAAAUUAACCGAUCCAACAGAGAAAGGUACAACCGUUGCGAUAGAUAUAUCUAUUGUCACGGUGAUACAAACCGUUACAAGAACCGUUCCAGUAGACCUAUAGGUAUGCCGGCUGAUGUAACGGGCUUUAAACCAUUCCAAUAUCCCUAUGGCAAUGGUUUGGCAGUCUAUAGGAAUUAUAAACCGUUAGCGUAUACCAAUUUUUCAAUAGUGUUGAUUGCAAAGGUUUAAAAACUGACUAAACAACACACUUUGACGAAAAAGACGACGUACAGACUCGUAAAUCAAACAACACCACAUACUCUAAUUAAAUGAAUUACAAACCCCCAAAACAAACAGACAUAUUUCAUUUCCUAUUUGCCAAUUUCAACCAAAUAGCUAUUUUUGCAAACGUGGCCCCUUCAUUAAUUUUGAGGCCGGGAAGGAUUAUUAUAUGACACUUCACAAACUAGUUCGUUCUUUUACGAAAAUAGCCUUUCGACAACUGAAAGGUACUCUAAGGAUAUCUUAGCAAGAAAGAUUUAAGACACUGCUGAAGAUGGCUCGACUUAUUUUGACCAAAAUUCCAAGCGGUAUUCACUUGACCACAUGCUCUUUUUCUUGUUUUUUUUCAAAUUAAAAUAACAAACUUGAGUUUGCAAGCACGACCUUUCAACACCUCGGCGAUGAGGAUUAUAAAGUUGUGUUGGCUAACCGACCAAAAUCAAAAAAAUAACCAAAGGCGGCUAUUCUUGCAAAAGCAGCCUUCCGGCGUCCUUUUCCGAAACAUUCGACUAUUUCUAACAAGAACGGCUUCACCUGACUUAUUCAUGCCAAAAUUUAAAACUUAGACAUUUUUUAGCUAUUUUUGCAAAGGGGAGGUUGGACCCGAUGAGGGUUGCCUAUGUAUCUCACAUAUGGUAAGAAUCAUACCUGCGUAGCUCGGGCCAAUAAACUAACUACUUUCGAAAACAUGACUCUUUUUUAUUGACAAAUACACUCUUUUUUUCUUUUUCAACAAACUAUUUGAAUAUAAAACUCUUGUUUUUUUUCUUUUUACUGACAAAUAAAACAAUUAAUUUUUUUAAAACAAAUUUUCUUUUUCCUUUUUCCUUUUUUGUUCAUUUUCCUCAAAAAUUCGUCAAAGUUUCAACAGUAUUUGGGUAUUGGUUUUUUUCUAACAUAGGCAAUCAACUCUCUAUACUGUUAUAUCUCUCUUUUUCUCUUUUUUUUUAAUUUUGGAAUAUUCCAAAUAUUCAGAAGCCGGUCAGCAUGCAGGCCCGAAAAAAAUAAAUGCAAAACAAAUAGGAUGUAUCAGGAUGGUGUUUUUCAUUUCAGGUUGCUAGUCCUAGAUGGACCCAACCCCUGUGUUGAGUCCCCUAUGACAAAUGCAAAAUGAUGCAAAUAAGCGUUCCUAAUAGGGAUCUAGUAUGAAGUUAUGUUAAUCUAAGUUCAAAACCUGGGUAUAGGUCGUAGACUGUGUUCCCGAGCUGACAACUCGAGUCUAGGAGGGGGCAACGUACCGGGAACCAAAAGGCCAUCCGGCUUAGUAACUUGUCCGGCCUCUUUCUUAUUUUAGGGUAUUAUACUAACAGAAUAUGGAGUCUCAUCUAGUAAGCACAUCCCUGGAGGUGAGAAGAGAAGGGUGUCGGCACAGUUUAUAUACAGUUCAGAUAAUAUCAAAGCGGUAACAUUUAGCAUAUUUAGCACAAAAUAUGUAGGAAAAUCAGAUAUAACCAAAUACAACAAUUUAUCUAAGCUCGAAUUUUGAACCCUGAUCAAAACGUUCUGGGUUCUUCUCCCCAGCAGAGUUGCUAGAGCUGUCACACCUCCUUGUUCACUACACCCGCAAGGUCAUAAAGGAGUUUUUCCAAUAAAGGGCAAUCAGAACAGGAUUUAUUAUUAAUAUUCAGAGUCGCCACGUAGGAGAUAAAGGGUGUUCCAAGUCACCUGUUGAAUCCCGAACUGAGGAAAUAUGACUAUGUUAACAUUCCGCGAACCAAAAAUUCGUGUAAGGAAUUCUUUUAACCCGGGAGAAGGUGUUAGGCAUUUCCGGGUUUCGUGGUUCUACACGGUCCCUCAACUGUAAUAUUUGAUUUUUCUGAUUUCAAAACUUUUUCUAGCUUAUGUGCUUUUAAUCAUAAAUCGCUUUUAUAUUUAUUUUUAAUGAGAAUUACAACAUCGUGAAAAUACGUCUCAAACCACGUCACAUCAGUGCACGUGUGGUUGUUGACAUAUUUCGACUCCGUUGAGAUUUGAAAUUGGGUCAAAUAAAUGUGCAAUCGGGUUUAUAAAGGUAAUGUUAUUAAAGUGUGCUCCUAAAUAGACUAACGCAUUAUUCUCUUUAGGGAAAGCUGUGAAAUUACCUAAAUGGCCCACCCCGAAUUUUAAGUAUUUUAAUAUAUCUAUUUAUUGAGAGCCCCACAAUUUUGCUUUUUUAUUUGGCGAGGCUCAUCUCAUUUUUACUUAAAGGCCAUCCUUAAAGCAAUCUAUAUUUUCUAUUUUAUUUUGUAUCCAUAACAAAAGAAAGAAGCCUAGUUAAUUAAUAUAGUUGAAAAGGCCCACACCCUUAUUAAUCUAUCUCCAAUCAAUUAGAUCGAACAUCAUGAUAAGUAAAAAAAAGAACAAAGCAUUUUUAACAAUUUAUCUAAAACGGCCCAAAUCAUACAUAGAAGGGGGCAGAGUAUUAUUGGGCAUGUGAUGAUAAUUCCAUGCCCAUGAUAUGCUGGAACUGGAACGAGUAUCUUAAUUAAAGCUGAAGACAUAGAUGUUUGGGCCUGGUGUUCGAGCCCAGUAAAACAAAGUUCCAACGCCAACUUUCAGGUUCAAUUGCGUGAGCAAACACACUGGGCUACAUACACUUGUUCACUAAACUUGGCUAUGGGCAAUUACGUAGGCUACAAAUUCAUUACAGUUGUUCCUAUCUGAAUUUAAUUUCAACAUACGACUUGCGAAACCUCUACUCAAAAUUCCAAUUAACAAAUCAGUUUAUCACUCAAACUAUUUUUGUGUUACUACUAACGCCUAUAUCAUGGCCAUAGGUGACUGCUUUUUUUUUUUUUUUCAAUUAAACGGAAAUGGAAGCACUACUAAAUAAGUGCUCUAGUAAUUCCUGAUUUCAACAAUUAGAUCACUCGGACUAGCACAUUAAGAUACAAGACCAUUUGUCCUGUUUCUCUUGCAAUUACUGAGAAACAAAUCAAGCUACCCUACACUACACUAGUACUACAACUAAGCCAAAUUAAAGUUGCCAACUAUGAAAUCCAUAAGCUCAUCAGAAAGAGUUCAUCAGUCCACAAACUUAAACAGUCCAAAGUUAAUACAGUUUAAUGAGAAAACUAUCAAAUUACAGAAUUCUAUCUAAACGUGAUAGAGCCACUAGGAUCGCAAGUCAAUAGCAGAGGUUAAGCCUCAAUUUUAUUUCAUUUUCCAGUAAGAGAUCUACGUAGUACUGAGUUUUAUGACAAGUACCUCGAAAUAUAAUGAAUAUAAGGGGAAGUUAGCAGCAGAAGAGCAAUCAGCAGCAACAAAAAAACUCAGGAAACAUAAUCAACUACCAAGGAAAGUUUCAAAACCCAGUAGUUGAUCAAUCGACAUAGAAAAUUCAGGAAACAAUUUAAAAAUCCAGUGAUGGAUGGGCACAUCAAUGAUUCCACCACUGUAGCAACCAAAUAAACUCCAAAUUGAACUCAAAGUCUUCCGAAACUUUCUAUCAUACCAUCACUCAACCAAAACCGAUUUAUCUAACCCAAAUUUGCUCAAAAUCAAUCAACAACACCACUGAAACUUCAAAUUACCGAAAAUCAUACUGGAGAAAUGUAAAUCAAUAGCUAAAAAAUGAAAUUCCCCUAGAAUUUCAAUGGAACAGUAAUUUUUUUAGUUUUUUGAGUUUUUGGUUUGUUUUUUAUUUUUGAAAUUUGAAUUUCCACUUCAGAUCUGAUAGAUUAAAGAGAGAGAGCUUUGGGGNNNNNNNNNNNNNNNNNNNNNNNNNNNNNNNNNNNNNNNNNNNNNNNNNNNNNNNNNNNNNNNNNNNNNNNNNNNNNNNNNNNNNNNNNNNNNNNNNNNNNNNNNNNNNNNNNNNNNNNNNNNNNNNNNNNNNNNNNNNNNNNNNNNNNNNNNNNNNNNNNNNNNNNNNNNNNNNNNNNNNNNNNNNNNNNNNNNNNNNNNNNNNNNNNNNNNNNNNNNNNNNNNNNNNNNNNNNNNNNNNNNNNNNNNNNNNNNNNNNNNNNNNNNNNNNNNNNNNNNNNNNNNNNNNNNNNNNNNNNNNNNNNNNNNNNNNNNNNNNNNNNNNNNNNNNNNNNNNNNNNNNNNNNNNNNNNNNNNNNNNNNNNNNNNNNNNNNNNNNNNNNNNNNNNNNNNNNNNNNNNGGGGGAAUAGAUGGCUAAAAACUUGGGAGUGAAGGCAUUGAACACGCCAUUUUAUAGGCAUUAGGGAGGGUAACUCUCAAAUAUUUUGUUUGCCCUUUAGUCCUUCUUUUAUUUUCAAGAUAGUCUUCUACUUCUUCACUUGUGUUUUAAGUUAUCUUAUUACCUUUUCUGAUUUUCUAAAAUGAAUCAUAUUCUAGAAGGAUCUUGGACAUUCUAACUAAACCUAUAGCAUUCCAACCCACUUCAAAUUUCUACACUACCCCUGAACUUCCCUGAAACUACUGUAUUAUCCCAACCCCCUUUUAACCCAUCUGAAAAUAUAAUCAGCUAUAACAAAUAAGCAAACCUACCAAUUAACUAAUUAAUCCCAUUAAAUUAACUCAUAAGUAACACUAGAACACUCAAACUAAAUUUAAACCAAGGUCAGAUUUAUAUCAGACUCCAAACUUAACAGAACAAUAAUAUGACUCAAAUCAUCAAACUCAACAAUAGUUUAAAACUCUAACUCAAAUUAGAUCAAAACAAAGACAAAGGAUUCAAUGAUCAAAACAACAAUUAGAUGGAACUACUAAGGUCAAAUUUUAAACCACGAUUGACACAACUACAUUGGGAAAAAAUCACGAUUCUGAAUUAACCCCCAAAACCAAACGAAUAAACACUGGAUAUGUAAUGAAAGGAAAAUAAACAUAAAUGAAAAACUUACUUAUUUCGGAAUUUAGACAUAGCCUAAUUUUGAAAUGGAUCUUCAAAUAAUGAUAUGUGUUUGCUCUUACCAAGAACAAACACAUAGCAUCAUUCUAAGACCCCUUCAACCACUAGCCGACUCAGGAAACUCGAACAGAUGAAGAUUUCCCAAAACUCCACAAUUUGAACCUUAGAUCCAAAAUUCAGAGAGAUCCGGUGGAAUUCGAAGGAGAUUAGUUGAGGAUUUAGGAAGAGAGAAGUGAGGAGAGUGCGUGGUAUAUUUUUGGGCAGGUUCCGAUGACUUUAGGGUUUUGGCCGAAUAUAUGCAUAAAUAUUAUAUUAGAUUACAAUGAUUCGAGGGAUAUUAUCAUGGAUAUAGAGUGAGGGGAACAAGGAGAGUUAGGGUGUUAUUUUGGGGCGUAUUGGCAGUGGUGACGCCGUAGGCGGCGGAGACAGCAGUGACAAAACCAAAUAUUCGAGCAGAUCAGGCAUGAUAUGAGUUUUGUAAAUUUGGGUCUUGGGAAGAGAAAGUGGCAAGAAAUCCAUAGUGUAAUUUUCAGGCCAUUUGGAGACUUGCCGCUGGUGGAGGCGAUUUUCGGUCGGUGGCGUUAGGGUUGGGUUUCUGAUUUUGUGAGAGAGAUGAUACGGGGGAGUGAGGCUAUCUGACAUUAUUAUACCAAUAAAUGUCCAGUUCUGGGCCAUUGAUUAAGUGAACCUCGACGGCUGAGAUUCAAAGGGGCAAAAUGGCGUCGUUUAUUGAGGGGGAAAGACCGAAGCGGG
rnacentral:lncRNA from 1 species